CAAUAGCGUAUAUUAAAGUUGUUGCAGUUAAAAAGCUCGUAGUUGGAUUUCUGGUGGGAGCGAUCGGUCUGGCGCUUAGCGCGAGUACUUGCAUCGUCUCCGGCCAUCCUUGGGGAGAGUCUGUCUGGCAUUAGGUUGUCGGGCAGAGGAUCUUCAUCGUUUACUGUGAAAAAAUUAGAGUGUUCAAAGCAGGCUUAUGCCGUUGAAUAUAUUAGCAUGGAAUAAUAAGAUAGGACUUUGGUACUAUUUUGUUUGUUUGCGCACCAAAGUAAUGAUUAAUAGGGACAGUUGGGGGUAUUCGUAUUCCGUUGUCAGAGGUGAAAUUCUUGGAUUUACGGAAGACGAACUACUGCGAAAGCAUUUACCAAGGAUGUUUUCAUUAA
rnacentral:rRNA from 1 species